ACAGUAUAUCCCACCUUUUUUUAACAAGGAACAUUAACGCUGAGGACAUGAUGUCAUCUUGCGGCACUUGAAGCAUAAAUUGGACUUUCAUCUUCAUUGGGGCAGUCUUUGCCUUCCCACCUUCAUCUCCAACCCAAAGCGAUGCCCAACCAAGGCGCACCUCUGAAUCAUAACCGGCUUUAAAUUUGUAAUCCUUACCAUAUGUGUGCUUGUACACAGCACUCCAGGUGUUGGAAUCAAAGUUGUACCAGUAGCUCAACUUAUUAUUGGG
rnacentral:misc_RNA from 1 species